CCAAGGGAUUGGCCUAGUGGUCAAGGCCUGGGACUUACGCUCCCGAGGUCUUAGGUUCGAAACCUCUCCUUUGGG